rnacentral:tRNA from 1 species
GGCCGGUUAGCUCAGUUGGUUAGAGUGUGGUGCUGAUAAAACCAAGGUUGCGGCUUCGAUCCCCCUUUGGUCC